AAAGACGAUGACGUUGAUAGGCCGGGUGUGUAAGCGCAGCGAUGCGUUGAGCUAACCGGUACUAAUGAACCGUGAGGCUUAACCUUACAACGCCGAAG
rnacentral:rRNA from 1 species